AGAGUUUGAUCCUGGCUCAGGAUGAACGCUGGCGGCGUGCUUAACACAUGCAAGUCGAACGAAGCGAUUUAGCGGAAGUUUUCGGAUGGAAGCUAGAUUGACUGAGUGGCGGACGGGUGAGUAACGCGUGGGUAACCUGCCUCACACUGGGGGACAACAGUUAGAAAUGACUGCUAAUACCGCAUAAGCGCACAGGACCGCAUGGUCCGGUGUGAAAAACUCCGGUGGUGUGAGAUGGACCCGCGUUUGAUUAGCUAGUUGGUGGGGUAACGGCCUACCAAGGCGACGAUCAAUAGCCGACCUGAGAGGGUGACCGGCCACAUUGGGACUGAGACACGGCCCAAACUCCUACGGGAGGCAGCAGUGGGGAAUAUUGCACAAUGGGGGAAACCCUGAUGCAGCGACGCCGCGUGAGUGAAGAAGUAUUUCGGUAUGUAAAGCUCUAUCAGCAGGGAAGAAAAUGACGGUACCUGACUAAGAAGCCCCGGCUAACUACGUGCCAGCAGCCGCGGUAAUACGUAGGGGGCAAGCGUUAUCCGGAUUUACUGGGUGUAAAGGGAGCGUAGACGGUAAAGCAAGUCUGAAGUGAAAGCCCGGGGCUCAACCCCGGGACUGCUUUGGAAACUGUUUAACUAGAGUGCUGGAGAGGUAAGCGGAAUUCCUAGUGUAGCGGUGAAAUGCGUAGAUAUUAGGAGGAACACCAGUGGCGAAGGCGGCUUACUGGACAGUAACUGACGUUGAGGCUCGAAAGCGUGGGGAGCAAACAGGAUUAGAUACCCUGGUAGUCCACGCCGUAAACGAUGA
rnacentral:rRNA from 1 species